UACAGAGACUGCAAGCGUUAUUCGGAUUCACUGGGCGUAAAGGGUGCGCAGGCGGUCGAGUGUGUCAGGUGUGAAAGCCCGAGGCUUAACCUCGGAAUUGCGCCUGAAACUACUCGACUAGAGCAUUGGAGAGGGUAGCGGAAUUCACGGUGUAGCAGUGAAAUGCGUAGAUAUCGUGAGGAACACCAGAGGCGAAGGCGGUUACCUGGACAAUUACUGACGCUCAGGCACGAAAGCGUGGGGAGCAAAAGGG
rnacentral:rRNA from 1 species